CUUCCACCUCAGCCUCUUGAAGCUGGGACUAUAGGCCUGAACCACAUAAUCCAAACAAGGACUUCGUAAUGACCCCAGGAAAUGGCGGAGCCACACGGUGGAAGGAGCUUGGAUGAGGUGACCUAGUCACUGCUGGGAAGACAGCUGUCCAUGAAAGCCACUCAGCCCAGAUGAGAUGAUGAGAUUCUAGAUAUGUAGAUAAAAAUGGCAUAAACUCACUGGAAAUUUGUAGAGAUUAGAGAUCACCAACUCUAAAUUUCUCGUGGGACGGAAUGCUUUCUCCUCUACCAUGACCUCAUUCUCAACUGCCAAACUGCAUCACAAGGAACGAGAGGUGAGGGUUCUUGCUGGAUUGAAGAAGAAUGGAGUUCAUGAGACAGUCUUAAGGACAUCUGGAGACACCGAUCCUAUGUGGACAUGGCAAAAAUAGUCACACAGAUUUUAGAAUUACAGCGCCCCCCCCGACCCUUUCUUUUUGUGUAUUUGUUUCUUUUGAAUUACUGUUGUUUUUCUGUGAUAAAAAUUAGAGAAAAUUGUUAGAGAGCACUGUAAUACAAUAACAUAAGCUAGAUUAUUUCUAAAUCAUUAAACUUGUUUCUCAUCCUUCAUUUGUUCAACCACAAGAAACUAUAAUAAGCUGCAGUCAAAAAGAAACAGUUAUUGAAAACAAGUUAAGGUAAACAAAGACAGCCAAGUAUAUGUUUUAGAAUGUUUUCACAGGGAAACAUCUGCAAAAUGUUUUUGCAGUGGGAAUAGCACAAGUGUUUACAUAACAAUUGUGCAGCGUAUUUUCUGGCAAAGAGGACACACCCAUAGAGCACAUUUAAAAAUAUUUGUGUAUUUCAGCUACAUUUUCAUUGGCAAUAGACACACAACCACAGUGACUGGGCAUCAAUCAACAUCUCAUUUCCCAGUUGUUUCACAAAAUGUAUAAUGAGUCAAAAAUGUAUUUGGUUUCACACAUAUGCAUUCUUAACUUUUCUGUCUCAUGAAAUGCACUACUGGAAAAACUGGACACAUUUUGAAUACACAAAUUAAGAAUCAUCUGAAUGGAAUGAUGUCUCUAUUUUUUAAAACAAGUCUCAUUAAAAGCAAAUAUUUUUAUUUAAUUCUGAGAAAAGAAGACUUUCCUAUAAAAAUAAGGUUUUUUUUUUUAAGAACAAACAAUUUACUAUUAGUACUGUGCAAUAAACAACAAUGUGUAAUUCUGAAAGAGCCAGAAAUUCUUUUUCAAAACAUAAAAUGAAGGCAUCUUUAACUCCACUUUGAACUGGGGCUAAUUGACAGUACUUAGCAAGUAAGAACUCUAUGUACGUAAGGAUAAAUCAUUAGAAAAGAAGAUGAAAACAUAGCCAACUUUGGAAUAUAUAAAACAAACAUGUUUGGGAAAGUAGAGUACAAGUGUAUAUGAGAAGCAGUCGCUGCUACUGAACAGCUUAUCAGUUUAGGCAACAUUUUUACAAGCAAUGUCUCUGCAGUCAGUUAAGUGCUGUGAUAAGUGGGAUUUGGGAGAUAGUCCAUCAGAAACACUUUUCACGGUGCCAGUGCCAAAUAUUAGUGGAUUGAAUUGAAGUAAACACCAUUUGAUUCAUAUUUUCAUGUGUGACUCAUUACAUAAAUAUCAACAUGUAACUUGACUUUGCUGACACCAAAGCAAACAAAGACCUUGAGUAGAAAUGUAAAGACACUCCCUUUCAGCUCCAGCUUAACUCUGCAGUGAUAAACUCAUGUACAUUGCAUGGCAAACCACAGCCAGCUAUCAAUCCAGACGACGCAGCUAGUACUCACCUAAAGUCAUCAGUUCGUGGCAGGAUUCUGAAGCCCAAAGAUGAAUAACCUAGUGCUGUUUACCACCAGGGAUCAAUUAAUUAAAUGAACAAUUUAAGUAAUCAAUUGAAUCCAUCUCUCCCAAAGUUAUAGACAGGUUCAGAAAAAUAAAAUAAAAUCAAAGAGAAAAGAAGAAUUAUUAAAAAGUAGAAAUCAUUUUGCAAACAUAAAGCUAAGGUGAAAAGUUAUUUUAAAUAUAUAUAUAUAUAUAUAUAAUUUUACUUUAAGUUCUGGGAUACAUGUGCAAAUUGUGCAGGUUUGUUGUACAGGUAUACAUGUGCUAUGGUGGUUUGCUGCACUUAUCAGCCCAUCAUCUAGGGUUUUAAGCCCCGCAUGCAUUAGGUAUUUGUCCUAAUGCUAUCCCUCCCCUAGCCCCUCACCCCCGAUAGGCCUUGGUGUAUGAUGUUCCCCUACCUGUGUCCAUGUGUUCUCAUUGUUCAACUCCCACUUAUGAGUGAGAACACGUGUUUUUCUGUUUCUGUGUUAGUUUGCUGAGAAUGAUGGUUUCUAGCUUCAUCCAUGUACCUGCAAAGGACAUGAACUCAUUCUUUUUUAUGGCUACAUAGUAUUCCAUGGUGCAUAUGUGCCACGUUUCCCUUAUCCAGUCUAUCAGAUGGGCAUUUGGGUUGUUUCCAAGUCUUUGCUAUUGUAAAUUGUGCUGCAAUAAACAUAUUUUAAUAUACUUUGAAU
rnacentral:lncRNA from 10 species